UCAUACGGUCGUUGACAGGUGCAAAAUGCCAAACACGUAGACAGCCAAAAUGGCCCAGCAAAACCCGGACCCGAUCCUUUUCAUUCGCAGAUGUCGCGUGGAAACCGUGCUGAUUUUAUGUUCAUGGAAAAAGAACAUGAUGGAUAUGAUCACAUGAGGAGUAGGAAUUUGAAUACCACAAAAUGCGCGCAGUCGACCAAUGGAUGCGCAACAAUAUCUGUGUUUAAAGAAACCUUACAGUGUAAUGAUUGUAUUAAACAAUGGUUCAUUCUUGUAGAAAAGUAAUUGCCAAUUUUAUAUAAAAAAAACCCUUUAACUUACAUCCGGUAAGCUGAGCCAUGAUGUAGAAUAUGGUCUGCAGCAGUGUCUUCUUGCCAGUGAUCAGAAAUCCAA